rnacentral:rRNA from 1 species
UACGUAGGGGGCAAGCGUUGUCCGGAAUCAUUGGGCGUAAAGAGCGCGUAGGCGGCCCGGUAAGUCCGCUGUAAAAGUCCAGGGCUCAACCCUGGAAAGCCGGUGGAUACUGUCGGGCUAGAGUCCGGAAGAGGCGAGUGGAAUUCCUGGUGUAGCGGUGGAAUGCGCAGAUAUCAGGAGGAACACCGAUGGCGAAGGCAGCUCGCUGGGACGGUACUGACGCUGAGGCGCGAAAGCGUGGGGAGCGAACAGG